rnacentral:lncRNA from 10 species
UCCGCUGGCCCAGGAAGAAAUUUUAGAAAUUAACAGAGCAGAUUCCAAACUGAAUGGGGAGGUGGCGAAGGCCGCGCUGGCGAACGAAGACUGCCCCCACAUAGACCAGGCCCUCACUCCCGAUGAGGGCCUGCCCUUUACGCGCUCGGGCACCCGCGAGAGAUACGGACCCUGCUUCCUCUUAUCAACCGGGGAGUACGCGUGCCCACCUGGUGGAGGAAUGAGAAAGGGUAUGUAGAGGAAGCUGGAGCACCGUGCAUCGUCCGGGCCGCCUCGCGCUCCUGCAGAUGGGUGGGCAGGGCGGCGGGCAAGGGCGCUGAGGGGCAGGCAGGCACACCGAGGGGGGCAAGGAUGGAGGGAAUCUCCCAGGGUCGGCCCCUGGAGGGCUGAGGCCCUUCCCCCCAAGUGAGAUGUCAGGCUGGCAGAGAGAACUUGAGGCCCUGGCAGCUGUGGGUUGCUGGGAGUUGAGAGGGGAUUGGACAGGUUGACUUUAGGCCAUGACCCCAAGGCAGGGGUACCCAGGAAUGCAGGAGGAGCCUUGACUCCCCCAGGCUGCUCUUGCAGAUGGCAGGUCAAGUCCCAAAGGCAAAGUGAUCUCUCCUCUCCCCUGAUUGAGGAGGGCAGUGGAGUGGGCCAGGACCCUGUGAACUUAGCUACACAAGAUCCGUGUUCUUGGCAUGGAAGAGGCAUCCUUGAAAGAUAAUCAAUCCACAAGCCAGAGGGAGGAGAGGCAAGAAGAGAGAGAUGUCUUCAGGGCUUGGGGGUAAGGCCAUUGUCCUUGCAGUCAGAAUAUUGCUAGUGGCAGAUCGAGAACUUGCCAAGAGAAGGUGGUUGAGCAGGACGGUCCUGCCCCUUCCAUCCGCAGCACCCACAGGCCUCUGCCCAGGGUGUGGUCAGCACCCUCUUGUGGUUGGCGAAGGCUGAGGCUGCUGGUGGCCCCUGCUCCAGGUCUCUUUGUAGUCAGCACGCUAGGCUGUCCCCACUGGAGAGAGAGGCUUCUCCUAGAGCUUCAGCACCGGCCGGGGAGAGGCUUGGGGUGGGGGCCCAGGGCGCCCGAGCUCAAGGCUCCAGGCACUGGCCCGGACCUAGAAGGCAGAGGGCACCUUUCUUGGUGCAGCAGACUGGCUGGGCAGCUCGUGCAUGUCUUGGAGUGCCUCACACGUGCACACGGAUGCAUGCUGAACGGGGUGAGCAGGCUGGGUCAGAAGAGGAGCUGGGUUUUUGAAAGCAACAGUUGGUGCAGCCUAUGGUCAUUCACAACUGCUCCAGUAUUUGAAGUGAUUAAACCACACGCAGGAGAAAACAGAAUGCAAAAGCAAAGGCAAACCUAGAAGAGGAGAGGCAGCCCGCACGGAGACGAGGGAACGUGGUUCUGGUCACUGGUGCUUAGUUGUGCCCACCUGGUCUAGGCUGGUCUCUGCUUCUCUGCCCUGCCCAGAGGUCCUUUGAGCCGGGGCACGGUGCGCAACUCCCCGCAUGGUGCUGCAUGGCGGAGGGCUGCCAGCCUUCGGGAGGGUCCCAUCCUUGGCACCGGCCAUGGAUGGGCCUGAUGUUCCCCUUUGCGACUGGCUUUUUCCCAGUUGGAGGUGCUAGAAUGCCCAGAAGCAGAAUGCCCGAGGAGUGAGGGGAAAAGCAGGUAGACGGUUCCCAGUGUCUGUGCCCUGCCCAGUAAGCUCUCGUGGGCUUUCUGUCUCCAUCAUCUUGAAUGUUAGACUGAUUGGUGUGGCCCCAAAGAGCAGACAAGACAGUCUCUUUACUGUGGUGCCAGAAGCACAGAAGGGAGUGUGGGACAGGAACAGCGCUGCUCCCUGCAGUGGCUGGGAGUCCAGCGGUAAGCACUGUCCACAGGAGAUACCCAUUCCUCAGUCCCACCGAGGCUUAGGUGCCAGAGUCUUUGGGAGGCGCUAAGGGUGAAGUGUCCCCACCUACAUCCAUUCGGCCCGCGCUCUCAUGGAGCCACGACAGCCGCCGAGGACUUGUUUUUCUCAGGCUAAUUCUGAGCCAGAAGGCAUGCAGGUGUGUGAGUCAAUGUGCAGAGCAGAAGUAGGGACUCAUCCCAUUCCCCCAGGAGGGAGAGAAAGAGGCGUGCUAGGCUGGCUCAGUGCAUGGGCAAACCAAGCCAGCUGGAGAAGAAUCUGCCUGCCUCUGCAUGCGGCUGUUCUGUCUUUCCUCCUCCUUCUUAAAAACUAAGUACCAAGCGGGAUGGGAGAGCCAAGAAGAGAAGCUCAAGUGUUAAUUGUAUUCUUUACAUACAGAUCUUUGCAAAGAAAGCCCUGUCAUUGCUAAGUAUAUGCCGACAGAGGCUGUGAGAGUGACUUGACCAGGCGGCUUGGCCGAGGACACUGGUGGCUAUUAAGCAUCUGGGUGGACCUGCAGCCCCUCCUCACCCUCGGACAGAGUAAAUUCACGCCAUGCAGGUUUGCCGGACGAGUCCGAGUGGCCCAGGCAUUGUACUAGGACGGACGUAGCUUUUUCUACGGCCAAAUGGUAACUGACCGUAGAGGAUUUCUUUUCCUUCUUUUCAUUUUUUAAAAUUUUAUUUUAUUUGGGGAGGGGGGGUGGAGGGGCUCCUUAGCAUGACUUGCAUGAAGUUAAACAGAAAACCCAGCAAACCAAACCCACCAACCCCCUGCAACUGUAUGAUUACCCUGAACAACAAUAAUGAAAAGAAAAACAUCAAAGCCCUCUAUUUUCUUUCAAAGCUCUUGACUUUCACACACGUUGUUGGAGCCAAACUGUAACGGCGUUCAGUAGAAACCUGUACAUUUCUGGGGGUGAGGGGCGAGGGGAGGAGGGACAGAGAUGGGGAAUGGAUUGCUUCCUUUUUGUACACAAGAUCAAGAGGAAAGCUUCCAAAAAGGGCAGUCGGUCAGUCAUCGGUCAUAUUGACCUCACCUUCAUAGUUCAUCUCUCACGUGGAAACUGAGAACUUUGCUCCAAAUAGAAUUGUGGAAACUCGCACGGCUGCCUUCUUCCCCGUUUGGCAUGCUUGUGACCCAGCGGAUGUCUCCCCAAGACCCCUGACAGCAGCUAGUCUAGGUUGAUUCUCUCAUCUUAUCGGUGUGUAGAUCCAGUGUGACCAACUUUCAUAACAAAUUGUUC